CUCGUAGGCGGCUUGUCGCGUCGGCUGUGAAAUCCCGUGGCUCAACUGUGGGCGGGCAGCUGAUACGGGCAGGCUGGAGUUCGGUAGGGGAGACUGGAAUUCCUGGUGUAGCGGUGAAAUGCGCAGAUAUCAGGAGGAACACCGGUGGCGAAGGCGGCCCGCUGGGCAGGAAGGAAGCGUAAGCUUCCGGCUGACGCUGAGGCGCGACAGCGUGGGGAGCAAACA
rnacentral:rRNA from 1 species